rnacentral:tRNA from 1 species
CCUCUCAUGGCGUAGUGGUUAACGCGCUCCAAGUAGAGAUCGGGGAGUCGUGAGUUCGAUUCUCACUGAGAAGA